AUUGAACGCUGGCGGCAUGCUUUACACAUGCAAGUCGAACGGGGUGAGGGGGCAACUCCUCAUUCAGUGGCGAACGGGUGAGUAAUGCAUCGGAACGUGUCCCGUAGUGGGGGAUAACGCCGCGAAAGCGGCGCUAAUACCGCAUACGCUCUACGGAGGAAAGCAGGGGACCCGCGAGGGCCUUGUGCUAGGGGGGCGGCCGAUGUCCGAUUAGCUUGUUGGUGGGGUAAUGGCCCACCAAGGCGACGAUCGGUAGCUGGGCUGAGAGGAUGAUCAGCCACACUGGGACUGAGACACGGCCCAGACUCCUACGGGAGGCAGCAGUGGGGAAUUUUGGACAAUGGGGGCAACCCUGAUCCAGCCAUGCCGCGUGCGGGAAGAAGGCCUUCGGGUUGUAAACCGCUUUUAGCCGGGACGAAAGCUCUACGGAUAACACCCGUGGGGGUUGACGGUACCGGCGGAAUAAGCACCGGCUAACUACGUGCCAGCCGCCGCGGUAACAC
rnacentral:rRNA from 1 species